rnacentral:rRNA from 1 species
GACGAACGCUGGCGGCGUGCUUAACACAUGCAAGUCGAACGGUGAAGCGCCUUCCUUUUUGGUGGGUGUGGAUGAGUGGCGAACGGGUGAGUAACACGUGAGUAACCUGCCCCCUUCUUCUGGAUAACCGCAUGAAAGUGUGGCUAAUACGGGAUAUUCUGGGUCUGUCGCAUGAUGGGUCUGGGAAAGAUAUUGUUUCGGUGGGGGAUGGGCUCGCGGCCUAUCAGCUUGUUGGUGGGGUGAUGGCCUACCAAGGCGGUGACGGGUAGCCGGCCUGAGAGGGUGGACGGUCACACUGGGACUGAGACACGGCCCAGACUCCUACGGGAGGCAGCAGGGGGGAAUAUUGCACAAUGGGCGCAAGACUGAUGCAGCGACGCCGCGUGAGGGAUGGAGGCCUUCGGGUUGUGAACCUCUUUCGCCAGUGAAGCAGGCCUGCCUCGUUUGUGGGUGGGUUGACGGUAGCUGGAUAGGAAGCGCCGGCUAACUACGUG